GUAAGGCUUCGCGGCCCGUAGGGCUACGUUAUCCCUGGGACCAAUAUCAACCUCUAGGGAGCUGUCCCUGCCGGGAUCGUGGUCCCGGUACAUGGCACCCACCUGCAAGUGCAGGUCGCAGAGGAUAGAAAGCGCCAACGGCUGAUGCAGCUUUACC
rnacentral:other from 1 species